GGGGCUGUAGCGCAACUGGACAGAGCAUCAGGCUUCGAACCUGAGGGUUGCGGGUCCGAAUCCCGCCAGCCCCGCCA
rnacentral:tRNA from 1 species